CACGAACCGUCCAAACGUUAUUCGGAAUUAUUGGGCUUAAAGGGUGCGUAGGCGGCGCUUUAAGUCGGGUGUGAAAUCCUUCGGCUCAACCGAAGAAUUGCGCCCGAUACUGGGGUGCUAGAGGGAGACAGGGGUGAGCGGAACUGAUGGUGGAGCGGUGAAAUGCGUUGAUAUCAUCAGGAACACCGGUGGCGAAAGCGGCUCACUGGGUCUCUUCUGACGCUGAGGCACGAAAGCCAGGGUAGCGAAC
rnacentral:rRNA from 1 species